UGGCUGGGACGACCCAGUUACGCAUCUGUUUUUCGGGGACGGCCCCG
rfam:Yersinia pestis CO92 complete genome